rnacentral:rRNA from 1 species
UACGGGGGGAGCAAGCGUUGUUCGGAUUUACUGGGCGUAAAGGGCGCGUAGGCGGCCACUGCAAGUCAGUUGUGAAAUCUCCGGGCUUAACUCGGAAAGGUCAACUGAUACUGCAGGGCUAGAGUGCGGAAGGGGCAACUGGAAUUCUCGGUGUAGCGGUGAAAUGCGUAGAUAUCGAGAGGAACACCUGCGGCGAAGGCGGGUUGCUGGGCCGACACUGACGCUGAGGCGCGAAAGCCAGGGGAGCGAACGGG